rnacentral:rRNA from 1 species
UGCAGUCGAACGAAGCCUUCGGGUUUAGUGGCGCACGGGUGCGUAACGCGUGGGAAUCUGCCCCUUGGUUCGGAAUAACAGUUGGAAACGACUGCUAAUACCGGAUGAUGACGUAAGUCCAAAGAUUUAUCGCCGAGGGAUGAGCCCGCGUAGGAUUAGGUAGUUGGUGUGGUAAAGGCGCACCAAGCCGACGAUCCUUAGCUGGUCUGAGAGGAUGAUCAGCCACACUGGGACUGAGACACGGCCCAGACUCCUACGGGAGGCAGCAGUGGGGAAUAUUGGACAAUGGGCGAAAGCCUGAUCCAGCAAUGCCGCGUGAGUGAUGAAGGCCUUAGGGUUGUAAAGCUCUUUUACCCGGGAUGAUAAUGACAGUACCGGGAGAAUAAGCUCCGGCUAACUCCGUGCCAGCA